AGAGUUUGAUCAUGGCUCAGAUUGAACGCUGGCGGCAGGCCUAACACAUGCAAGUCGAACGGUAACAGGAAUCAGCUUGCUGAUUCGCUGACGAGUGGCGGACGGGUGAGUAAUGUCUGGGAAACUGCCUGAUGGAGGGGGAUAACUACUGGAAACGGUAGCUAAUACCGCAUAAUGUCGCAAGACCAAAGAGGGGGACCUUCGGGCCUCUUGCCAUCGGAUGUGCCCAGAUGGGAUUAGCUUGUUGGUGGGGUAACGGCUCACCAAGGCGACGAUCCCUAGCUGGUCUGAGAGGAUGACCAGCCACACUGGAACUGAGACACGGUCCAGACUCCUACGGGAGGCAGCAGUGGGGAAUAUUGCACAAUGGGCGCAAGCCUGAUGCAGCCAUGCCGCGUGUAUGAAGAAGGCCUUCGGGUUGUAAAGUACUUUCAGCGGGGAGGAAGGGAGUAAAGUUAAUACCUUUGCUCAUUGACGUUAUCCGCAGAAGAAGCACCGGCUAACUCCGUGCCAGCAGCCGCGGUAAUACGGAGGGUGCAAGCGUUAAUCGGAAUUACUGGGCGUAAAGCGCACGCAGGCGGUUUGUUAAGUCAGAUGUGAAAUCCCCGGGCUCAACCUGGGAACUGCAUCUGAUACUGGCAAGCUUGAGUCUCGUAGAGGGGGGUAGAAUUCCAGGUGUAGCGGUGAAAUGCGUAGAGAUCUGGAGGAAUACCGGUGGCGAAGGCGGCCCCCUGGACGAAGACUGACGCUCAGGUGCGAAAGCGUGGGGAGCAAACAGGAUUAGAUACCCUGGUAGUCCACGCCGUAAACGAUGUCGACUUGGAGGUUGUGCCCUUGAGGCGUGGCUUCCGGAGCUAACGCGUUAAGUCGACCGCCUGGGAGUACGGCCGCAAGGUUAAACUCAAAUGAAUUGACGGGGCCCGCGACAAGCGGUGGAGCGAUGUGGUUUAAUUCGAUGCAACGCGAAGAACCUUACCUGGUCUUGACAUCCACGGAAGUUUUCAGAGAUGAGAAUGUGCCUUCGGGAACCGUGAGACAGGUGCUGCAUGGCUGUCGUCAGCUCGUGUUGUGAAAUGUUGGGUUAAGUCCCGCAACGAGCGCAACCCUUAUCCUUUGUUGCCAGCGGUCCGGCCGGGAACUCAAAGGAGACUGCCAGUGAUAAACUGGAGGAAGGUGGGGACGACGUCAAGUCAUCAUGGCCCUUACGACCAGGGCUACACACGUGCUACAAUGGCGCAUACAAAGAGAAGCGACCUCGCGAGAGCAAGCGGACCUCAUAAAGUGCGUCGUAGUCCGGAUUGGAGUCUGCAACUCGACUCCAUGAAGUCGGAAUCGCUAGUAAUCGUGGAUCAGAAUGCCACGGUGAAUACGUUCCCGGGCCUUGUACACACCGCCCGUCACACCAUGGGAGUGGGUUGCAAAAGAAGUAGGUAGCUUAACCUUCGGGAGGGCGCUUACCACUUUGUGAUUCAUGACUGGGGUGAAGUCGUAACAAGGUAACCGUAGGGGAACCUGCGGUUGGAUCACCU
rnacentral:rRNA from 1 species